GUCAGUGAGGCAUAGUGGUUUGGGUGGUAUAUUAGGACUCUGGAGACCAGGGUUUGAAUCCCCACUCUGCCA